CCCGGGAUGACGGAAUUGGUAGACGUAGCGGACUUAAAAUCCGCCGCCGUAAAAGGCGUACGGGUUCGACCCCCGUUCUCGGGACCA
rnacentral:tRNA from 1 species